GUAGGAGCCACUUGCACAAAGAAGGAGGUCAGGGGAGUAAGCAGUCCACACGGUGAGCAAAAGCCAUAUUGCAGAAAGGAGAGUUCAGUUCCUCGCAGGCUGAGCUGGGCUGGGCCAGAGCUCCCAGAGGGAGAGAAGGAUAGGAAUUAAGAGAACGAGAGAAAUGGGAUUCUCAGAAAUCUUAUCAGCUCCCCAAAAGAGGGAAAAGAGCAAGAGCUCAGUAUGAAAGCAAAAUGAGCACUUACUGGAGCGCCUCUCUUCUGCAUUCUGAGCGUCAGGCCUGUAGUGCGGGGACUGACGAGACCUCUCUGGAGUGGAAAAGCGGUCCCGACUCACUGCGCCACCGGACGACCCUGCCGUGUGCUCCACUUCAUACUCCAGCUCCACCUCCUCAUCGGCGUUGAGGCUGCUGGUUGCUGCCUCCAGUCCCCCCGAGUCUCUUCAAAGGCCCAAAGUGGAGUUAUGAACUUGAAGCCACAGAAGAACCCCUGUGUGGCAUGUGAAGGAGUGCUCACCCGCCAGAGCCCCUUUUGGAGUUGGGAGUGAUCUCUGGUCAUUGAUAAAGAUGUUAAAUAACGUAGGGCCAAGAACCGAUCCCUGCGGGACUCCACUGGAAACAGACCCACUCAAUGAGGAUUCCCUGUUUAUAGUUGCAUUUUGAGACCUACCAUUUAGCCAAUUUUUAAUCCAUUUAAUGUGUGCCAUGUAACACUUUAUAUUGUUCUAGUUUUUUUUAAUCAAAAUGUCAUGCAGUACCAAGUCAAAUGCUUUACAGAAGCCUAUUAUGUCAACACUAUUACUUUAUCAACCAG